rnacentral:rRNA from 1 species
UACGAAGGGUGCAAGCGUUUACUCGGAAUUACUGGGCGUAAAGCGUGCGCAGGCGGUGAUGUAAGACAGUUGUGAAAUCCCCGGGCUCAACCUGGGAACUGCAUCUGUGACUGCAUCGCUGGAGUGCGGCAGAGGGGGAUGGAAUUCCGCGUGUAGCAGUGAAAUCGUAGAUAUGCGGAGGAACACCGAUGGCGAAGGCAAUCCCCUGGGGCCUC